AAAAAAAAAAGGAUGGUGUUUUGGAAGAACGCGCAUCCUUUUCGCUCCUCAAGAAAAACCCUUUUGCGCUACCCGCUUCACUCCUCCAGGAAUUCUUUUAAGCUCUAAUUGAUUGCAAAUUUGGAAAUAUCAAGUUUGUUGCUGUGGAGGGGGAUUUCUCAAAUUCCAAGUUAUGUUGUUCUUUGUGUUAUUGAGGAUGCAAAGACAUUUUUUAUUUUGCUGAUUGCUGAGGAUGCAAAGGGAUUUCAACUAGAUUGAUGUUGUUUUGCUUUGGCUAUUGAGCAUGCAUAUAAAUUUUUGAUUUGUUGGUUCCUUGUUGCUGGAUGAAAAAGAACUUACUGAAUUGUUACAAGUAUU